rnacentral:rRNA from 1 species
UACAGGGGGUGCAAACGUUGCUCGGAAUCAUUGGGCGUAAAGCGCACGUAGGCGGUUCGUUAUGUCGGAUGUGAAAGCCCUUGGCUUAACCGAGGAAGUGCAUCCGAAACUGGCGAGCUAGAGUACGAAAGAGGAUCGCGGAAUUCCCGGUGUAGAGGUGAAAUUCGUAGAUAUCGGGAGGAACACCGGUGGCGAAGGCGGCGAUCUGGGUCGAUACUGACGCUGAGGCAUGAAAGCUAGGGGAGCGAAUGGG